rnacentral:misc_RNA from 1 species
GGGAGAGGAAGUUGGGAUUGGGGGAACAUGUUCUUCAUGUGGGGAGCUUGAUGCAUUCCUUGACAAUUAGGGUUUGAAGGGUUUGUAGGGGUGGAUGUGGUUGACCACAAGAAAGUUGUGAUCAAUUGAGGGGUUGAUUGAUUUGCAACCAUUUAGCAUUUGUUUGGGGGUUCAAUUGUAAUUUCGUAUAAUGCCUCAUCAGUUCAGUCAAGAAAUUGGGAUUUGGUUUGGUUAUGGGGUUUAUGGGUCGGGAUCAAUUGUAAUUUCGGAUCUAACCACCCAA